GCGGAAUGACGGUGGGAGGAGAAUUCCGUUGGUAAUAAGCGGAUGAGAUUCCGUAGAACCGGAAGAGCCUUCCAAAGGACCCCUAAACUCUGUUUCUAUAUGUAACUUCUGAGUAAAACCAUAAAUAAAUCAAAACUUUCAACAACGGAUCUCUUGGUUCUGGCAUCGAUGAAGAACGCAGCAAAAUGCGAUAAGUAAUGUGAAUUGCAGAAUUCAGUGAAUCAUCGAAUCUUUGAACGCACAUUGCGCCCGCCAGUAUUCUGGCGGGCAUGCCUGUUCGAGCGUCAUUUCAACCCUCAAGCACAGCUUGGUGUUGGGACUCGCGUUAAUUCGCGUUCCUCAAAUUGAUUGGCGGUCACGUCGAGCUUCCAUAGCGUAGUAGUAAAACCCUCGUUACUGGUAAUCGUCGCGGCCACGCCGUUAAACCCCAACUUCUGAAUGUUGACCUCGGAUCAGGUAGGAAUACCCGCUGAACUUAAGCAUAUCAAUAAGCGGAGGAAAUUCGAA
rnacentral:rRNA from 1 species